AUUCCAGCUCCAAUAGCGUAUAUUAAAGUUGUUGCGGUUAAAAAGCUCGUAGUUGGAGUUCUGCCAGGUGACGCUCGUCCGCCCAAGUGGUGUGUACAGGGCGUGCAUCUGGCCCUUUCAAGGGGAACGUGUCUGCUCUUUAUUGAGUGGUGCGAGAUCCUUGACUUUUACUUUGAGGAAAUCAGAGUGUUCCAAGCAGGCUCUCGUCGUGUAUAGCUCAGCAUGGAAUAAUAGCAUUGGAGUUCGUUUCUAAGCUGUUGGAUGCAAGAAGCGAGGUAAUGAUGAAGAGGGAUAGUUGGGGGCAUUCGUAUUUAACUGUCAGAGGUGAAAUUCUUGGAUUUAUGAAAGAUGAACUCAUGCGAAAGCAUCUGCCAUGGAUGUUUUCAUCA
rnacentral:rRNA from 1 species